UACGUAGGGUGCAAGCGUUAUCCGGAAUUAUUGGGCGUAAAGAGCUCGUAGGCGGUUUGUCGCGUCUGCUGUGAAAACUGGGGGCUCAACUCCCAGCCUGCAGUGGGUACGGGCAGACUAGAGUGCGGUAGGGGAGAUUGGAAUUCCUGGUGUAGCGGUGGAAUGCGCAGAUAUCAGGAGGAACACCGAUGGCGAAGGCGGUUCUCUAGUACGGUACUGACGCUGAGACGCGAAAGCGUGGGGAGCGAACAGG
rnacentral:rRNA from 1 species